AGUGAACGCUGGCGGUAGGCCUAACACAUGCAAGUCGAACGGCAGCACAGUAAGAGCUUGCUCUUACGGGUGGCGAGUGGCGGACGGGUGAGGCAUACAUCGGCAUCUUCUUUUUCGUGGGGGAUAACGUAGGGAAACUUACGCUGAUACCGCAUACGACCUACGGGUGAAAGCAGGGGAUCUUCGGACCUUGCGCGAUUGAAUGAGCCGAUGUCGGAUUAGCUAGUUGGCGGGGUAAAGGCCCACCAAGGCGACGAUCCGUAGCUGGUCUGAGAGGAUGAUCGGCCACACUGGAACUGAGACACGGUCCAGACUCCUACGGGAGGCAGCAGUGGGGAAUAUUGGACAAUGGGCGCAAGCCUGAUCCAGCCAUACCGCGUGGGUGAAGAAGGCCUUCGGGUUGUAAAGCCCUUUUGUUGGGAAAGAAAAGCAGCAGGUUAAUACCCCGCUGUUCUGACGGUACCCAAAGAAUAAGCACCGGCUAACUUCGUG
rnacentral:rRNA from 1 species